GCCCCCGUAGCUCAGGGGAUAGAGCAUCGGCCUCCGGAGCCGGGUGCGCAGGUUCGAAUCCUGCCGGGGGCACCG
rnacentral:tRNA from 14 species